GACGGAGGGUGCAAGCGUUGUUCGGAUUGACUGGGCGUAAAGGGCGUGUAGGCGGUUGGUCAAGUCGGGUGUGAAAUCCCGGGGCUCAGCCCCGGAAGUGCAUCCGAAACUAGCCAGCUAGAGCGCGAUAGAGGAGGGUGGAAUUCCUGGUGUAGCGGUGAAAUGCGUAGAUAUCAGGAGGAACACCGGCGGCGAAGGCGGCCCUCUGGAUCGUUGCUGACGCUGAGACGCGAAAGCGUGGGGAGCAAACAGG
rnacentral:rRNA from 1 species